UACGGAGGUAGCUAGCGUUGUUCGGAAUUACUGGGCGUAAAGCGCACGUAGGCGGCUUUGUAAGUUAGAGGUGAAAGCCCGGGGCUCAACUCCGGAACUGCCUUUAAGACUGCAUCGCUUGAAUCCAGGAGAGGUGAGUGGAAUUCCGAGUGUAGAGGUGAAAUUCGUAGAUAUUCGGAAGAACACCAGUGGCGAAGGCGGCUCACUGGACUGGUAUUGACGCUGAGGUGCGAAAGCGUGGGGAGCAAACAGG
rnacentral:rRNA from 1 species